AGAGAAAAUUGGUGGAUUUCAAGUAAUCAAGCAAUCAAAGGUGGUGAAUCCUCCAAAAAAGGGUAAAAAAAUUGCACCCGAUGAUCAAUAGUCGAAGUACUCCAAAAUUCAAACUCCUGAUACAGCUCAGGAUAGUCGGUAGAUAGCUCACUUUGUUGAAGGCUA
rnacentral:sRNA from 1 species